GUAUAGAAAACUUUGUGGAGACAAUGUUUUCGUAUGGAAAACUUUGUGGAGACAAUGUUUUCGUAUAGAAAACUCUGUGGAGACAAGGUUUUCGUAUAGAAAACAUUGUGGAGACAAGGUUUUCGAAAAGAAAGCUUUAUGGAGACAAUGUUUUCGUUUAGAGUACUUUGUGGAGACAAGGUUUCCGUGUAGAAAACUUUGUGCAGACAAUGUUUUCGUUUAGAAAACUUUGUGAAGACAAGGUUUUCGUUUAGAAAACUUUGUGGAGACAUUUGGUCUCUUUUGUGAAAUUUCCGAAAAACUUGUAUUUUAUUCUAGUCUCUGGGGAAACAAUUGAUUUACUGUGUAGACAUUUCGUGGAAAUUCUGUUUCUAAUAUUUUCCAUAUGUUUUUAACUUCGUCAUUACUUUCAUUUCAUUUGUUGGACCCGCCGAAUGACUCAAGAUUUCAAAGACUUGUUUUGUUUUGUAGGUAUUCCCCUGUUAACUUCUAUGUAAUAGCAAGCACAUGCACAAAACAAAACCAAGCUCCUUAGAUUGUUAUGAAUGUAAGUAAGUAUUGUGUGGUUGGGAUCGAAAGCGUCCCCCUACUAAGGCACUCAGUAAAAAAGUAUAGUUAAUGAAUUUAUACAGAAAAAAAAACAAAUAUAAAUAGAACUUAAUAUUUACAGACGGACGUAUACAAUAUAUACAUAACUAAUAUAUAUAUAUAUACAUACCUUUCAGACAUACCUAUAAACUAUUUUUCAAACAACCGAACAUGGAAUAGGCAGAUAAUCCUUAAACUGAAAUUUGUAUACAGUCAUAGAAGUUGAAAAUUUAUAAUAAAUAGACAACACAGAAAUAGAAAACAUAAAUAAAAAAUAUAUACAUACAUGAAAAAAAUAUGGAAACAAAUAAUAUUUCAUUUAUACAUAAUCAUCGGCACCACAUAGUAUGAACUACAAAA
rnacentral:sRNA from 1 species